GGGCCUGUAGCUCAGGUGGUUAGAGUGCACGCCUGAUAAGCGUGAGGUCGAUGGUUCGAGUCCAUCCAGGCCCA
rfam:[Clostridium] acidurici 9a chromosome, complete genome.